rnacentral:tRNA from 1 species
GGCGAAUAUAACUCAGUUAGGUUAGAGUGCUAGAUUGUGAUUCUAGAUGUCAUGGGUUCGAAUCCCAUUAUUCGCC